rnacentral:RNase_P_RNA from 1 species
UCGGUUGUAAUGCUCGCCUUAGGGGCAACAAGCGAGUGCGUGUCACUCACGGUGCCUUUGGGAAGGUCUGAGAUUUGGGCUAACUUACGUCCUUGCAGGACGCAGCUGUAAAUUAACGGUUGGCGAGGUUAUCAGAAAUAGUCCUGAGGGCCAUGAUUUGGCGCGAGAACGUUUACGCUCGUCGUAAAUGCGAUGCCGCGAAUUGUUUCGCUGUGGCCUUGUCAAGGUUGGAAGAAUCUCGCAGUCGGCUUUGCAAAGUUCGAUAGGUGAGGUGAACGUUGUUCAUAACUCGAUUCAGACUACUCUACGACCGG